GAGAGUACAUCAGCGGCAGACGGGUGAGUAACACGGUAGAUAACCUACCCUCAAGACGGGGAUAACCGGUGGAAAUAGCGGCUAAUACCCGAUAGGCUCACGUGAUCGGGAGGUCGAGUGAGGAAAGGCUGCGGUGCUUGAGGAGGGGUCUGCGCGCCAUCAGCUAGUUGGUGAGGUAACGGCUCACCACGGCGAAGACGGGUAGGGGGUGUGAGAGCUACGACCCCCCACAAUGGGACUGCGACAUGGCCCAUACUCCUACGGGAGGCAGCAGCAGGGAAUAUUGCGCAAUGGACGGAAGUCAGACGCAGCGACGCCGCGUGGGUGAGGAAGGCCUUCGGGUUGUAAAGCCCUUUUCUGGAGGGCGAGGCAGGACGGUACUCCAGGAAUAAGCGUCUGCUAACUACGUGCCAGCAGCCGCGGUAAGACGUAGGACGCAAGCGUUAUCCGGAUUUACUGGGCGUAAAUCGCCUGUAGGCGGCGGGAUAAGUCGGAUGUGAAAGCCCCGUGCUCAACGCGGGGGAAGCCAUUCGAUACUGUCUGGCUAGAGAGCGGGAGAGGGAAACGGAAUUUCUGGUGUAGCGGUAAAAUGCGCAGAGAUCAGAAGGAACACCGAUGGCGAAGGCAGUUUCCUAGGCCGUAUCU
rnacentral:rRNA from 1 species